AUGGGUCAGAUCAUUUGGCUGUUCUGUCAAUAGAAAAAGGAGUUCUCAGCUCCAUAAAUACUAGUAUGGUAAUUGACCAUCAAGUCUCAGAGAUACACUCUGAUGACUCCACCCUCAAAGAAAUAGGAUCAAAAAGUCACCAAGAUAAAAACUGUUAUAGAAUAUGGCAUGCAGUUGCUUCAAACAAUGGUAUAAAGCUAUUCAAAACACCAUUUAAUGUAAAUUAUGAUAAUCGUAAUUAAGAAUCACAAUUACAAUUUCAAGGGAAUAAUCGACAAUUAUGAUUUUUGUCAUAAUCAUGCAGCCCUAGUUGUAGAUCUUGAGUUUCAUCUAAUUGUCAUUUGCUGGGAUUCCGUUAUUAUACUAGCUAUGAGGAGAGAUUCACUGGCAUUCAGGUAAGGGAUUAUUCAUUGUGGCAUUGUAAAAUUUUGUUAAUUGCAGUGACUAAUUGUGUUUGUGUGUGAAGUUUGUUGAGCCAAACAUUCAGCUGCUGCUCAAUGAACAACACCAAGACCCUUUACCUGUGUCCCAGCUGAAGGUAUUCUACAGUGCAGCAGCUGAGGGAUUCCCUUAUCAAACCACCAUAGAGGACUGUUUCUCUGGCAUACGGCUGAAUCUGGGAGGGUUACUGAAUUCAUCUCCUGUAACCGAGUGGAGACGUCUUUCAUCGUGCCACAUUAUUACGUGCAAACCAUUACAACGGUAACCUGUACUUACCUGUAUGUGGCUGCAGAUGGACAAUGUACACCUCCACUUGGGAGUGGGAUCAGGACGACUCUGAGGAGAGUGAUCAGUGCCUUAACCCAGAGGAGAUGGAGGUGUCCUUUAUUUGCUGACUGACAUCGGCCUGAAGGUGCCUGCUGUCCGCGAGGCGUUCGCUGUGAGUUAAACCUUUAUUCAGCUGCUGUUAUUGCACAGGAUGCAGUUGGUGUGCAGUUGGCCUACGAGGCCCUGAUUCGAUUCCUGAGGACGCCUUCCAAUCAGGAAUCGAUUAAAGCAGAGCUCUCUGGGUCCACCACUACAACUUCCUGGAUGUUUUUUAUGAACUGAUUCUCUUCAGCUGCUUUAAGAAUGGCUGAACACCUCAUCCAGUAAGUGUCUUAUCAGGAGAUUUUGCUUGAAUUAAGAACAUUGAAUUAAGAAUUUCAGAACAUGGUCUAUUUUAUCUCAUUUUGUUUUCCCAUAUUUGUAACCCUGAUUAGACAUUAGGGAUGCAACAAUACAGUUAACCCACGGUUCAAUACAUACCGCGGUUUUUAACCACGGUUUUCUUUUCGGUUCGGUUCGGAUGGCUUGGCAAAUUAAAGGUUUUUUUGUUUUUUCCCCCCAUUAUUCUUUGCUUAGGUGACAGGAACAGUAAGUAUGUUAAGAAGAACAAAACUGGUUUUAGUUGCAAUUCUCUUUAUUUUACUUAAAUGCAAAAAUCAACUUGUACACAUUCAUAGUGUACUGAAAAUAGUGAGAGAUAAAAAUUAGCGCUUGUAUGACUUUAUUACAGGAGACGGGGUUGGACGGCGCUCUUUUUUCCCAAUCCGCUCUGUAAUGAACAGUAAGGGUGAGGUAACUCUGUUACCCACGAGGUCCAACUAUCUGUUAUUAGAGCAAGGCUUUGCGCAUUAGACGAUUCGGCUUCGAUUUUUUGCAUGUUUUUUCGUAGAGGUCGAGGUAAUCUGUGUAAUACUCUGUAAUCUGUGCAGAUUGGUUAGUUGGCAUGUAAUGCUAAGGAGGAGUCUUCAUCUUACAGUGCAGUCCAAACCCUGAGUAAAUAAAACCAGGGGCAAUAAUCACUUGUGUAUUAUGGAGAAAAUCUUACUCAGAUCAUAAAGAGGAAAUGUUUGUGACGUGAUCUUGUUAUUCAAAGAUGGAUUUAUUAUUAUUAUUAUUAUUAUUAUUAUUAUUAUUAUUAUUAUGAACCAUCCUUAUUUUAAAGUGUAAUGUUUUCUAAAACAUUAAGGAAACUAAAGAACCCAUUGAUUAUUAUUCAAGAAUGUAAUAAAGAUGAUCAUUUCUCUGUCCUUGUCAACUGUAUUAUUCCAUGUUUUUUAAGUCAUACACGUUCUUAAUUUUCUAUCCUUUUGGGUAAAGAUCUAGUCUUUUCUUUUAUCACCAGACUGUAUAAUGCAGACCUCA